rnacentral:rRNA from 1 species
UACGGAGGGCGCAAGCGUUGUUCGGAAUUACUGGGCGUAAAGCGCGUGUAGGCGGUCUGGUAAGUCGGUUGUGAAAUCCCCGGGCUCAACCCGGCAACUGCAUCCGAAACUUCCAGGCUAGAGUUUCGGAGAGGAAGGCAGAAUUCCCAAUGUAGGGGUGAAAUCCGUAGAUAUUGGGAGGAAUACCAGUGGCGAAGGCGGCCUUCUGGACGAUGACUGACCCUGUGACGCGAAAGCGUGGGGAGCAAACAGG